rnacentral:lncRNA from 1 species
GCGGGCUUAGGAAGGCUCUAGAGAAGUUGCUGAGACACCCAGGACGUGGUGGAGUAAUAUUAGAGUCAAGCAAAGCUCUUGAAGGACUCAAAGGUUUGAAUCGGGUGGAGCAGGGCUCAGAUGGCUCUAGGAAAAAACUGCUGGGAGUAGUAUUAGAGUCGAGCAGAGAGCUCUUGAAGGAUUCAAAGAAGGGUGCUUAAUGAUGAGAAUACUCUAGUAUGAUACUUGUGAUGGGUAUUCAAGUGAAAGGUGGAGAUUGUUGGGAUUUCACAUGAAUCCCACAUCGGUUAAAUUCAAGAGUGUAGAUGGCUUAAUAAGUAUGGUAGAACAUCAACCUAAUAGGUUAACCUUUUAGGUAAAGAGGUG